CCAUCACCCACGUCAUCGUCCCCAAGCAGCUGGGAGGCCCCGACUCCUGCACCACGGAGAACGAGGAGGAGCUCUUUGUCAUCCAGGACCAGCAUGGCCUCGUCACCCUGGGCUGGAUCCAUACCCACCCCACCCAGACAGCCUUCCUGUCCAGCGUGGACCUGCACACCCACUGCUCCUACCAGAUGAUGCUGCCGGAGUCCAUCGCCAUCGUGUGCUCUCCCAAAUACCAGGAACCUGCAACCACGUGUCAAUAGUGGAGAGAGACGUGGUGAUGAUGGAUCUCCGAUAAACCUCUUGCCUUGUCCCCUUCACAGGAGCCACCCACCCUCCUUUAGGCCUAGGGAAUCGGUUUUCUUCUCCUGUAGCAGAUGAUUUCUACGGUGUAGUGAUCCCUCCCCUCCCUCCCCGUGGUGGAAUCAGAUCCCUGCCCUCAGGAACCUCAGUGCCUGCUGUGGGGCUGGCAGAGGGGGCUCCAGCUGUGGGGAGAAGCCAGCUGCCAGAGACAGAAACCAACACUAAAAGCAAUUGUUGAACUCUAAUCCACGCCCCAACAGCCUCCUGGGGAGCUUCCCCGUGACCCUGAGCUGUGGAAACCUCUUCAAGUGCUUUUGGGACUCACCCAGUUUGUCUCAUGCCCUGUUUUGUCCCUCCUGGGCUGCUCGGUCUCAGCUCCCAGGAGCAGAUAAAUCCUUGCUGUGCU
rnacentral:lncRNA from 1 species